rnacentral:rRNA from 1 species
GACGUAGGGCGCGAGCGUGUCCGGAUUUAUUGGGCGUAAAGAGCUCGUAGGCGGCUUGUCGCGUCGAAUGUGAAAUCUCAGGGCUCAACUCUGACAUUGCAUUCGAUACGGGCAGGCUAGAGUUCGGUAGGGGAGACUGGAAUUCCUGGUGUAGCGGUGAAAUGCGCAGAUAUCAGGAGGAACACCGGUGGCGAAGGCAGGUCUCUGGGCCACUACUGACGCUGAGAAGCGAAAGCAUGGGGAGCGAACAGG